rnacentral:sRNA from 1 species
AGUCUGAAAAUCGGUCGAUUCUCGGAGGAAGUCCAUGC